rnacentral:rRNA from 1 species
UACGUAGGGUGCAAGCGUUAUCCGGAAUUAUUGGGCGUAAAGAGCUCGUAGGCGGUUUGUCGCGUCUGCCGUGAAAGUCCGGGGCUCAACUCCGGAUCUGCGGUGGGUACGGGCAGACUAGAGUGAUGUAGGGGAGACUGGAAUUCCUGGUGUAGCGGUGAAAUGCGCGGAUAUCAGGAGGAACACCGAUGGCGAAGGCAGGUCUCUGGGCAUUAACUGACGCUGAGGAGCGAAAGCAUGGGGAGCGAACAGG